AAGGUUUUUGUGAGGAUAAACUGAGGAUCAGGUGAGCCAUGUGUGCCAGCUUGAACUGACUGAAGAACAGAUGAAUCUGACUGGCUUCAUAUUAUAGUGCCAUACGGUGACCUAAUUCGUUAUGUGUUCUCCUGUUGACUGAGAUCCCUACUGUGAUUAGCAGAGAAAGAAAAGAUAUGAAUAUUAUAUGGUGAGAAAAUGCUACAGACAUAACAGCAGAUAGGGUUUUGAGGUCUACUUUCCUGUGUUUUCGAAGUGAAAGACGAUUUGGUGUAAAGACGACUGAGGCUCUCCACUGGGGUGUCACACAAGCCAGCAGGAUGUCCCCUGCAGUCACCUGGGAAAAGUCAGAUGUGCACACCACCAGAAUGGGUGAGAAGUAGAUCAGCCCACACAAUUGGUCUUGUUUUCUGCACUGUACUUGACGAGUGGCACUUUUCUAAUUCCUGACAUGGAAAAUCAACA